rnacentral:rRNA from 1 species
GGGUCAGUAGGUUGGUCGUGCCACCGGUACGUACUGGUCUCAAUGAUUCCUCCUUCCUGAAGAACCGUAAUGCCAUUAAUUUGGUGUUGCGGGGAAACAGGACUGUUACUUUUAAAAAAUUAGAGUGUUUAAAGCAAGCUAACGCUUGAAUACAUUAGCAUGGAAUAAUGAAAUAGGACGAUCGAUCCUAUUUUGUUGGUUUCUAGGAUUGACGUA